UGGGGAAUAUUGCACAAUGGGCGCAAGCCUGAUGCAGCCAUGCCGCGUGUAUGAAGAAGGCCUUCGGGUUGUAAAGUACUUUCAGUCGGGAGGAAGGUGGUAAGGUUAAUAACCUUAUCAAUUGACGUUACCGACAGAAGAAGCACCGGCUAACUCCGUGCCAGCAGCCGCGGUAAUACGGAGGGUGCAAGCGUUAAUCGGAAUUACUGGGCGUAAAGCGCACGCAGGCGGUUGAUUGAGUCAGAUGUGAAAUCCCCGGGCUUAACCCGGGAAUUGCAUCUGAUACUGGUCAGCUAAAUUCUUGUAGAGAGGGGUAGAAUUCCAUGUGUAGCGGUGAAAUGCGUAGAGAUGUGGAGGAAUACCGGUGGCGAAGGCGGCCCCCUGGACAAAGACUGACGCUCAGGUGCGAAAGCGUGGGGAGCAAACAGG
rnacentral:rRNA from 1 species